CAAUUUUAGAAAACAUGGUUGUGCAUUACAUGCUGGUGCAUAUUUAAUUUUGUGUUGUUGCCUUCUGUUUGAUUUUAGUUGCAUUCAAAACUCUCCUUGAAAAGGCUUUGGAAAAAUAUAUUGGAAAGAGUUUAAAAAAAAAAAGAAGAAAAGAAAACAGCCGUAGCCAGCCCCGGCCUGCCCCCUUUCCCUCCCUCACGGCCGGGCGCGGCCCAAUUCCUCCUCCCCGCGGCCCAGCAAGCCGCGGCCCAGCCGGGCAGC
rnacentral:lncRNA from 1 species